UACGUAGGGUGCAAGCGUUGUCCGGAAUUAUUGGGCGUAAAGCGCGUGUAGGCUGCUCUGUGUGUCGGAUGUGAAAGCCCCGGGCUCAACCUGGGAAGUGCACUCGAAACUACAGAGCUGGAGUCUCGGAGAGGAUCGCGGAAUUCUCGGUGUAGAGGUGAAAUUCGUAGAGAUCGGGAAGAACAUCGGUGGCGAAAGCGCUCUACUGGACCACAACUGACACUCAGGGACGAAAGCUAGGGGAGCGAAUGGG
rnacentral:rRNA from 1 species